AUCUACACUAAUAUAAAGUUUACAGUAAAAAUAUGUCCUAAUUUACAAGUAAAUUUAAAACUUAUGUAAAUAGUUCAAUUUUUUAGGCCUACUCGAACGUAUGAUGUUUAAUAGAGAUUUCAUAAAAACAAUUUUUUUAUUCAAUCUUGAAUAGAAUAUUUGCAAGAUGUUCUUAUGUUUACCUAGGAGUAAUAAGUUCCAAUGUUUGAUCAUCCAUCCACUCGACGGCUCUCAUAACAUCAUAUGGAUUAGCUGGAGCAGGAUAAACAGUUUCGUCUAGUUCUUCGUACUC